ACACACACUGAAGGUCAUAACACACACACUGAAGGUCAUAACACACACACUGAAGGUCAUAACACACACACACACACACACUGAAGGUCAUAACACACACACUGAAGGUCAUAACACACACACACUGAAGGUCAUAACACACACACACUGAAGGUCAUAACACACACACA